AGUUACGGGGUAUCACAUGUACUGUUCUGACCUCUGCAGGUACCACUGGAUUCUGGGUUGCCUCUUGUUUCUUUUACUGUUCAUGUCUCAGGGUCUUGCUGUGUAUCUCAGUCUGGACUCAAUCCCGUGAUCCUCUUGCUUCAGCUUCCUCCCAAGACUGGGAUUACAGGUGUGUGCCAUUAUUCAUGGUUACAAAUGAAAACUUUUGAAAUUCUGUUUAGAGAAUGAUAAGAAAGAAUGUAGGAAAUUAUAAAUUGAAUAUUGAAUUAUGAAACAAAGACCUAAUUGUGGCCCAGAUGUUUCUUACAACAGAGUCUACCCUACAAGAUCUUUACUUACCGGCAAAGGGACAGGCCAGUACUACAACACAGGGCAUGCUCCUGCAUGCCGCCUGCUACUUAGUGCGAACAUUUCCCAGAGAUGGAGCAGCACUUGUGAGCCAAAUGGUCACCCCACAAAGUGAAAUUCUGCAGAUAUAGCAAUAGUACACAGUUCUG
rnacentral:lncRNA from 1 species